rnacentral:piRNA from 1 species
UUCAGUUAAUGGUCAGUGAAGAGUCUU